rnacentral:lncRNA from 1 species
GGGCGGCGUCGCGGGUGGGGACGGGCUUCCUCUGCGGGCGGGUCUGCAGCUCCGCUCCCGGCCCCUCGGGCGGCGUCACGGCCAGCAAAGCGCCCGAGGCUCCCUUUCCCCGGUUGUUUCCCGUCACCCGGGCUCUAAACUUCACGGCGGAUCUGUGUUCCAGUGGAUUAGAAGAACGCACCCGGCAGGCUUCAGGGAGCUCCAGAGGCGACUCCAAGUAACGGGUUUAGGGGGCCGGCCCGCGGCCUGGCGGUUAGAGUUCCUGUUCUCCGCUUCAGCCCGUCGUGGAUCCAGACCAUCCGCCUGUCAGCAGCCUGCUGUGAGGACGGCCGCACGGAAGAACUGGAACCGCUGAAACUAGGUUUUCCCACCAGGUGCUCAUGGAUCUUACCUACGACAACCCAUCCUUGCUACCAAUACAGGUGCAGGCGUUCCUUUAUCUAACCCCUUGGGGCCUUGAGCUUAUGCCGUUUCCAGCUGUGUUCCAGGAAGAAGCUCUAAGCAGCAACAGCCCUGGACCCAGUUGCUCUGAAACAGCCCAGACUGGCCCAGACCACAACCACAAGACUGGCACCGGCACAGGCGGGCAGAGCGCCGUGCUAAAGC